CAACAACUAACACAGCACCUACCCCAUUCUGGGCUUCCUAUGGAUUAUCUCCUUUAAUCCUCGUGACAACUCUGUGAUAUGAAAAAAGUGCUGCAUGGAGAGACCUAGUAAUGUGUCCAAGGUGUCACAGUCAUUAAGUGGGAGAGCUGACAUUUGAUCCCAGGCAGGCGUCAGCCUAUGCCAUCCCGUCUCUCCAAGGCAGCCACACACCCUGGGAUGACAGAUGGGGAAACUGAGGCCCAGAGAGGCGUAACCUGGCCCAGAGUCCCACCGUUAGUGAGAAACCAGAACUACAAGCCAGGACUCCUGACUGUAGGCCUCUAUUAUUUUCCCCAAUACCUCCUAGAGCUUAUUAUAAAUCGGAUGGGAGAAGGGAUCACUCCUGGUAGGGAGUCACGCCGACCCGGCAGAAACUCCGGUGAGUUCCAGCUGUGAUGAGCAGAGGUCACGGACAAAGAAGAGGAUAAGUGAACAACGUUGCAGAACCUUGUGGGCCUUUAUAAUUCAUCUAUAAUUCAGAAUUAGCUUUCACUGAGCACUUACUAAGUGCCAGGCCCUUUGGUAAAUCAACUCAUUGAAUUCACACUAAAUUCUGUUACUCCAUUUUUCUGCAGGUGAUGGUAUUGAAGCUUUGAGAAGUCAGUUAAGUUGUUCAAGGGAACCCAAUUCCAGAUCCAGAGGCCACAUGUAGUUUCCCCAAGAGGGCAGAGAUUGGGCCUUCCCCUCCUCUUCAUCCUCCCUCAGUGCCUGCCUGGCACAGACACUCCAUCCAUGCCAUGUACUGACAUUGAUGGGCCAACACACUGAACCAUUGAUUGACUACAGCUUGUGUCUCAGCCAGUAUAGUGGUUAUUUGCAAGGCUGCUUUAUGUAGCAUGGUUCAGGCCAUUUGAGCCCCCAGCUCAGAAAUGAGCACCAGCUGGUGAGCAGGCCAAGCGCCCAGGGAAAGGC
rnacentral:lncRNA from 1 species